UAUGCGCAUUCUCCUUAGUACGAAAGGAUUCAGGAGAAUGGGACCUAUAUUAAUAAUAAGUCCCCACAACCAGCUGACUAAAACUCAAGCUAUCGGGCCCAAAUACCCCCCCAGACAAGGGUUUU
rnacentral:rRNA from 1 species